rnacentral:ncRNA from 1 species
GAAUUUUAAAAAUUCUUUAAACACAAAGAUUUGGUCCUAAUCUUAGAAUCAAUUUUUACUUAACUUACACAUGCAAGUCUCCGCACUCCUGUGAAAACGCCCUAAACUUCUUUUAGAAACAAGGAGCUGGUAUCAGGCACAUUAAUUAGCCCAAAACACCUAGCUAUGCCACAUCUUCAAGGAACUUCAGCAGUGAUUAAAAUUGAAUAUAAGCGAUAGCUAGAUUCAGUUAAAGUAUAAAGAGUUGGCAAAACUGGUGCCAGCCGCCGCGGUUACACCAAGUAACUCAAAUUGAUCGAAUUCGGCGUAAAGCGUGAUUAAAGUUUUCAAAAAUUAAAGUUACACCCCUACUAAGCUGUGACACGCUUGUAUAUGAGAAAACCAAAUACGAAAGUUACUUUAUUAAAAUCAACUUGAAUUCACGACAAUUAGGAUACAAACUGGGACUAGAUACCCCACUAUGCCUAAUCGUAAACUUUCAAUUACAUUCAAAACGCCAGGGAACUACGAGUAAAACUUAAAACCCAAAGGACUUGACGGUAUCCCAUAUCCUUCUAGAGGAGCCUGUCCUAUAAUCGAUAAUCCCCGUUUAACCUUACCACUUUUAGUUAAAUCAGCCUGUAUACCUCCGUCGUCAGCUUACCACGUGAGCGAAUCUUAGUAAGCUUAAUGCCUUCUACGCCAAUACGUCAGGUCAAGGUGCAGCAAACAAAGUGGAAAGAGAUGGGCUACACUUUCUAUUUUAGAAGAAACGAAAGACUAUUUAUGAAAUCUAGUCAGAAGGCGGAUUUAGCAGUAAAAAAAACUAGGUAGUUUUUUUUAACUCGGCACUGGAGUGUGUACACACCGCCCGUCACCCUCUUCAAAGCCUACUAUAAGUAAAUAACAAAAUUACGCAUUAAAGAAGAGGUAAGUCGUAACAUGGUAAGCAUACCGGAAGGUGUGCUUGGAAA